rnacentral:tRNA from 1 species
UGGGGAGUCGCCAAGCGGUUAAGGCACUGGGUUUUGAUCUCAGCAUUCGUAGGUUCGAUCCCUACCUCCCCAGCCA